UACGAAGGGGGCGAGCGUUGUUCGGAAUUACUGGGCGUAAAGGGCGCGUAGGCGGCCGAUCAAGUCAGAUGUGAAAGUCCUGGGCUUAACCUGGGGACUGCAUUUGAUACUGAUUGGCUUGAAUUCGGGAGAGGAUAGCGGAAUUCCCAGUGUAGAGGUGAAAUUCGUAGAUAUUGGGAAGAACACCGGUGGCGAAGGCGGCUAUCUGGACCGACAUUGACGCUGAGGCGCGAAAGCGUGGGGGGCAAACAGG
rnacentral:rRNA from 1 species